AAGAGAGCCUAAAAAACUCCCGCAAACCCCAUGUGAACAUACCAUACGUUGCCUCGGCAGGCCUCAUACGUGCCCCCUCAUGGCGUGCCCGGCGCGCAGCCCCGCAAGGGGGGGGGGGCCGCGGGUGAGACCUGCCGGUGGCCCAAGCAAACCCUGUUAUCACUGAAUUCUGAGCCCGCAUGUAGGAAAUUAAGUCA
rnacentral:misc_RNA from 1 species